CCUACGGGGGGCUGCAGUGGGGAAUAUUGCACAAUGGGGGAAACCCUGAUGCAGCGACGCCGCGUGAGUGAAGAAGUAAUUCGUUACGUAAAGCUCUAUCAGCAGGGAAGAAACACUGACCUUACGGUCAGCAGACGGUACCUGAGUAAGAAGCCCCGGCUAACUACGUGCCAGCAGCCGCGGUAAUACGUAGGGGGCAAGCGUUAUCCGGAUUUAUUGGGUUUAAAGGGUGCGUAGGCGGAUCGUUAAGUCAGUGGUCAAAUUGAGGGGCUCAACCCCUUCCCGCCAUUGAAACUGGCGCUCUUGAGUGGAAGAGAAGUAUGCGGAAUGCGUGGUGUAGCGGUGAAAUGCAUAGAUAUCACGCAGAACCCCGAUUGCGAAGGCAGCAUGCCGACUUCCGACUGACGCUGAAGCACGAAAGCGUGGGGAUCGAACAGGAUUAGAUACCCGUGUAGUC
rnacentral:rRNA from 1 species